AGCAGAAUUAGCCCCAUUUUUACGAAAACACGCGGAUCUUGCUAGUAUCUGGGUCGGGUCUUGGGUUGUGCUCUAAAACGACGCCGUCUUGGGGCUUCUGAGACCAGCCCCAGAUCGGAAGCCAAAAUAUUCAAAAUACCCAAAAAAGACUAGAAAACCUUUCGGUUCCUCGCACUCCUUUCCGACGUGGUCCUCCGGUGAAUCGAAAACAAUUCAAAGACCAUACGCCGAAAGGAACCGUCUUUCGUUGGCGACGAUAUCCUCGCAUGCUCUCGACAUUGGAAAACGAAGCUGCGUUCAGGUGGUGGUUGUCGGUAGCAGUUGGCGGCAGCGUGCUGACGUAGGGGACGUGCGGCGCCAGAGGGCUAGAUUAGGGUUUCUGUUUCUGAACAUUGUUUAGGCUAACGGGCCAUUGGGCUAUUUGGGUUUUUUUGUUAAUUUGGACUGUUUAGGCUUAAUGUAAUUUGGGUCUGACAUUUUGUAAAUGGACUGCACUGUUUAUUUAUUUGGUUUUGUUUAUUA